UCCAGAGUACAUUCUUUGGUUCCUUGCUGAAUGCCAAGUUCACCAGAUGUUCUCAGUUGUUAAUUGCCUCUGACUUUGGUUCCUUUUUUUCUCUCUUGUCAGCCAAAGAACGAAAAGAGUAUAUGUCUAUGUACAACAGAAUCCUCCAUUAUCUCCAUUUUGGUCCACCAAAAUAUUGUCUCAGCUUGAGUUGACUGUGCACCCUCUUGGGGUUGAUGGCUGCUGUUCUGAGGAAGAGGAAGCUCUCUUUCCUUCCAGAAUAGACAUCCUGAUCCAUUCAUCAACUAAGACUAGUGAAUUUGGAACAGCUUUGGUGAAACUCACUGCCAUCCCAGUGCCAAAAAAUGCUAUGGAAGCUCCGUUGUGACUACACAGCCUUGGCAUCCGGCUGAUCUGCUAAGUCUCAGAAGGAGAGGAUCAAGUAGGGGAAUGGCUCAUACCAUCACAGGUGCUGGCCACUCUGCACAAGCUGGCCUUAGGUGCCUCCCCGUUGACUGAGCACAGCCGUGGAGAGAUGCUGAAUCUAUCCAAAAUGCUGUUGGCCAAUGGCAGAAAACAGCUCUGUCAGGAAGGCUGAGCGUGGGAAGUGUGAACGUAAAAGACCCUUAUCUGUGCCUGUACCCUGGACAAUAUUCCUCUGCCUGCGUUGAU